rnacentral:tRNA from 1 species
UGCCCUAUAGCUCAACUGGCAGAGCGACGCGCUGUUAACGCGGGGGUUGUAGGUUCGAUUCCUACUGUGGCAG